GUAGGGAAUAUUGGACAAUGGGCGAAAGCCUGAUCCAGCCAUGCCGCGUGAACGAUGAAGGCCUUCGGGUUGUAAAGUUCUUUAGCCGAUGAUUAUAAUGACUGUAGUCGGAAAAUAAGCCCCGGCUAACUUCGUGCCAGCAGCCGCGGUAAUACGAAGGGGGCGAGCGUUAUUCGGAAUCACUGGGCGUAAAGCGUGCGUAGGCGGUUUUGUAAGUUAGGAGUGAAAGCCCAGGGCUCAACCUUGGAAUUGCUCUUAAAACUGCAAGGCUCGAAUCUCGGAGAGGAUAGCGGAAUUUCCAGUGUAGCAGUGAAAUGCGUAGAUAUUGGAAGGAACACCAGUGGCGUAAGCGGCUAUCUGGACGAGUAUUGACGCUGAGGCACGAAAGCGUGGGGAUCAAACAGGAUUAGAAACCCUGGUAGUCC
rnacentral:rRNA from 1 species